UACGAAUGGAGCAAGCGUUGUUCGGAAUCACUGGGCUUAAAGCGUGCGUAGGCGGCUUUGCAAGUCAGGAGUGAAAGCCUGGGGCUCAACCCCAGAAUUGCUCUUGAAACUGCAAAGCUAGAAUAUCGGAGAGGUUGGGAGAAUUCCUAGUGUAGAGGUGAAAUUCGCAGAUAUUAGGAGGAAUACCAGUGGCGUAGGCGCCCAACUGGACGAUCAUUGACGCUGAGGCACGAAAGCGUGGGGAGCAAACAGG
rnacentral:rRNA from 1 species